GCCGGAGUGGCGGAAUGGUAGACGCGCUUGCCUCAAAAGCAAGUGUCCUUUUGGGCGUGUGGGUUCGAGUCCCACCUCCGGCA
rnacentral:tRNA from 1 species